rfam:Streptomyces sp. HCCB10043 Contig_625, whole genome shotgun sequence.
AGAUGAGAGAAACACCUCGGCCCCGGGAAACCGCGGCCGACUCCGGGUCGGGGCUUCCCCAGCACCGUCCGGGGCGUGCGUUCGCGCAUGCCGGAGCCGAUGGCUCCGGGACUCCUCACCGAUCGGA